UACGUAGGGUGCAAGCGUUGUCCGGAAUUAUUGGGCGUAAAGAGCUCGUAGGCGGUCUGUCGCGUCGGCUGUGAAAACUCGGGGCUCAACCCCGAGCCUGCAGUCGAUACGGGCAGACUAGAGUGCUGUAGGGGAGGCUGGAAUUCCUGGUGUAGCGGUGAAAUGCGCAGAUAUCAGGAGGAACACCGGUGGCGAAGGCGGGUCUCUGGGCAGUAACUGACGCUGAGGAGCGAAAGCGUGGGGAGCGAACAGG
rnacentral:rRNA from 1 species